AACAAGACAACUCUUGCUCUCUUCCCUCUUUCUCUGUCUCUCUCUCUCUCGUACCCACCAUCGAUCUUUCACAAUUGCUUACCAUCGAUCAUCGAACGUCGCACAUCACCAUUGUCACCGCCGCUUGCUCGUUGUUCACCUAGCAGCUACUCGCCGUUUGCCUCGCAGCUGCUCGUAUCGCAUCUCUUCAACAUUGAGUUGAUGUCGCAGAGAUCACUCUGCAGUAAUGCGGAGAAGUUUGAAUUUCAGGCUGAGGUGUCUUGGCUUAUGGACACCAUUAUCAAUUGGCUUUACAGCAAGAAAGAUACCUUCUUUAGGGAGUUAAUCUCCAAUGCUUCUGAUCAUCAUAACAUAAGGCCUUAUAUGAAUUUGAGGCUCAAGAAUUCAUUGACACCACCGGUAUAGAUGCUUUUGUAGUGUGUAUUGGAAAUGUCCAUGGAAAAUACCCUGCAAGUGGCCCAAAUCUCAGACUUGAUUUACUAAAGGUGAAGUAUAGUUAUCGAUUUACUGAAGGUGUAGUAUAGUUAUCAAUUACGUGAUUUUGAGUUAUUGCAUUAGAGUGUUAAUUUAUUACUAAUUAAUUUAUAUGCACAAAAAGUUCACCUCUAUUAUUAAUAGACAACAUUUGGCAGAACUACUUAUCCUUCCAUGUUGGAUUUUUAGUAUUUUCAUUGACGUCAUGUUUACAUUGUGCUUUAUUAAGAAAGUUAUUUCAUAUUUUAUUUUAUUUUAUUAUUAUUAUUUUUUAAGUGACUGCUGAUGGGAAAUAAGUACUUUUGCUUUUUGGCUCCUUCUUUUCCUGAUAACCAAACAACCCUUAAAUAUAGUAAUAGGUAGCUUCCUUGUGUGAAAAAUGACUUGUGAGAACUGCCUUUAAAUAUAAGACACAUAGUUUGGGAGUUAAAAUAAAAAAUACCUUAAACUUAGUCAAAAAAAGGAGGUUUGGGGGGCGAAAAUUCAAAAUAGGCCCCCAACCACUAUUGGGAUGUAACAUGCAGCUUCCUCAUGCCAAAAAUAACUUGUGAGAACUGAUGGUACAUAAAUGGGACACGUAGAUUGGGAGUUACAAUCGAAAAUGCCUUAAACUUAGUAAAAAAAAUCGGGUUCGGGGGGUGAAAAUACAAAAUAGCCCCCCAACCACUGUUGGGAUGUAACAAACAACUUCCUCAUGCCAAAAAUGACUGGUGAGAACUAAUGGUACAUAAAUAGUAUAUUGGGAGUUACAAUAGAAAACACCUUAAACUUAGUCGAAAAAGGGCUUUCGAGAGGCGAAAAUGCAAAACAACCCUUGAACCGAUGUAUGGUUAUCUCAGGCAGCAUCCUUAUGACAAAUAGGACCUAUGGCCAUAGACGGCAUAUAAUUCGCAUCUACAGUUUGAUAGUUAGAGCCAAAAACACCUUAAACUUAAUCAAAAAGGGGCUUCCAGGGAGUGAAAAUGCAAAAUAGCCCCCGAACCAAUGUAUGGCUGUCACGAGUAGCAUCCUUGUGACAAAUAGGACCUGUGGCCAUAGGCGGCAUGUAAUUGACACCCGUAGUUUGAGAUUUAGAGCAAAAAAUGCCUUAACCUUAGUCGAAAUGGGCUUUCAGCAGGCGAAAAUGCAAAACAGCCCAUGAUCCAAUGUAUGGUUGUUAUGGCCAGCAUCCUCAUGACAAAUAGGACCUGUGGCCACAGAUGGCAUGUAAUUCGCAUGAGAAGUUUGAGAGUUAGAGCUAAAAAUGCCUUAAACAUAGUAGAAAAUGGGGUUUCGGGGGGUGAAAAUACAAAACAACCUCUGAACCAUUGUAUAGAUGUUACGAGUAGCAUCCUUGUGACAAAUAGGACCUAUGACCACAGAUGACAUGUAAUUCACACACGUAGUUUGAGAAUUAGAGUUGUGGCCACAGACGGCAUGUAAUUCUUCUAUAUACUUUUCAAUCCAACUGCAUGGAUACAGUACCUGUUUUCUUGAUAUGUCCACAUCAUCAGAUACUAAAGCUAUUUUCCAUGAGAAAAAGAAAAGAAAAGUGAUGGAACAAUAAAGUAGCAACUCCAUUAAUAUGUCUUCUACAGUACAUGGAACUGGAUUGAAAGUAAAAAAAUUAGAAACGCAAAAGCUAUACACAGGACAGAUCACAGUCAUCACCAAAAGGCUAUCAGUCAUGCAUUACUAUUAGUUUUAAAAAAACAUGAAUGCAUAGCUACAUUGAAGCAGGCAUUUUUGAAUACUGAUGUGUGCACUUCUUCUUCUUCUUCUUUUUUUUUUUUUUUUUUUUUUUUUUUUUUUUUUUUUUUUUUUUUUUUUUGUAUAUGGCUUUUGGUGUGGACUUGUGGAUACUCUUUUUCUGUGUAUGGAGGACAAUUUCGACUUUUGUAUAAUCCUGAUAAUUUUGUCAUCCUCCACUUUUGUAUGGAUUAUUAUUACUCGUGUUGAUAUUUUUUGGCAUCGACUUGAUAAUUACUGGUGUGGUAAAUAGAAUUCCUUUUGUCGUGGUACAGAUUAUGAUGGUAAUUUAUACCACAACAAAUGGCCAUUUCGCAUGGCAACAUAUACAUUUUUUGUACAUAGAGGGCUUAUUUUUGUAACUUUUGCAGUUAUGUUUUGUAUGGAAUUAUUAUUUUAGUUUGGACUAUAUAGUACAGGUUGGACUAUGGUUUGUAUGGAAUUUUUCAUUUAUAGUUAUACAUUUUUGAAUGGUUGGAAGUGAAAUGGAUGCAGAUCUAUUGUGGAAUGAUUGAUAAUAUAUGUAUUUCUUCGUUCAUAUAUGUAGUACAGGUUGUACGGAAUACAUACAGGUCGUAAACAAAUUAGAAUUUGGAGAGAAAGCGUAACUUUUUGUUUUGCUGACUAAACAAUUUGUAGGCAUAAAGGAAAUAUAUAAUUUAGCAACUAAAUAGUUAGUCGCUAAAAAAAAAUUGAAAAUGUUUUUGGCAACUAAAAGUUUAGUAGCCAAAAAAACAAAUCACACUUUAGGCAACUAAAAUGUUUAGUAGCUACAAAAUUGCAAACAAACUACAAAAAUGUUUUGGCGACUAAAAGUUUAAUAGGUAAAAUCAAUUUAGACUUUAGGCUACUAAAAUUUUAGUAGCCGAAAACAAUCAAACAUUAGGUUACUAAAUUAUUUAGUAGCUAAACAAAAAUAAUCCAAAAAAGAAGUCAUUUUUGGCGGCUAAAGGGUUAGU